rnacentral:sRNA from 1 species
GUGCAUGGCUGUCGUCAGCUCGUGUCGUGAGAUGUUGGGUUAAGUCCCGCAACGAGCGCAACCCUCGUUUUUAGUUGCCAUCAUUUAGUUGGGCACUCUAGAGAGACUGCCGGUGACAAACCGGAGGAAGGUGGGGAUGACGUCAAGUCAGCAUGCCCCUUACGUCUUGGGCUACACACGUACUACAAUGCUACGGACAAAGGGCUGCCAACUCGCGAGAGUGCGCUAAUCCCAUAAACCGUGGCUCAGUUCAGAUCGUAGGCUGCAACUCGCCUACGUGAAGGCGGAAUCGCUAGUAAUCGCAGGUCAGCAUACUGCGGUGAAUACGUUCCCGGGCCUUGUACACACCGCCCGUCACACCAUGGAAGUCGGCCACGCCCGAAGCCGUUACCCUAACCGUAAGGAGGGGGGCGUCUAAGGCAGGGCUAAUGACUGGGGUGAAGUCGUAACAAGGUAGCCGUACCGGAAGGUGUGGCUGGAUCACCUCCUUUUAGGGAGACCUUACCCGUCUAACUGUGAAUUGAGUAACAGUAGACAGAGGUAUCUCAAGGUCGGUCGAGGUUAUAGUGUUAGCUUCCAAAUCUGGUCUGGUUUUAUCUCAAAACCAGCAUGGGCUACUAGCUCAGGUGGUUAGAGCGCGCCCCUGAUAAGGGCGAGGUCCCUGGUUCGAGUCCAGGGUGGCCCACCUUAUUAAAUUGAGGGGGUUUAGCUCAGUUGGUAGAGCGCCUGCUUUGCAAGCAGGAUGUCAACGGUUCGAAUCCGUUAACCUCCACUGAAACCUUCUUAGAUAAAUUUCAGCAACUAUUGAUGUCAUUUUUUGACUUCAGAGCCUGCUGGAUAUUUUAUCCAGUCAGAACCUAGAAAACUGCAUAAAGAUUAGUCAGGUAAGUAGUAAUUACUAACUUAGAAAUGAGAAAUCAUUCUAAUUAGUAACUUUGCAGACAAAACCAAAUACUUAGAAAUGAUUGGUCAAGCUACAAAGGGCUAAUGGUGGAUACCUWGGCACACAGAGGCGADG